GGAGGCGUCGCCUAGUGGUAUGGCAGCAGAUUGCUAAUCUGCGACUCGAAAGAGUCUCGUGGGUUCGAAUCCCACCGUCUCCG
rnacentral:tRNA from 1 species